rnacentral:snoRNA from 1 species
UUCCCUUCUUAUUUUGUCUGACUGUAGGCUAAUUUAUGAAAAAGUGUAAGAAAUAAAUCUUCUUUUGCAACCCCAAAUUCAUUGUUCAGUAUGAGUUUUAAUACAUAUAAGAAAGAAUAUU